GUGCACCGUUCGUAAUCGGUCACCACUUCUAUUGAUGACUUGGUUCCAUUCCGGUGCUACAGAAACUCCCGGUGACCACCUGCUGGAUCGGCUCUUGUUGGUCAUUUGGGGUCCUUGGGUACAGAU